rnacentral:lncRNA from 1 species
UUGUGGUGAGAGUCCCAUGAAUCCAAUUGAAGGUUUUGAUUGCUUCAUAUCAAUGUCCAAAAUCUUCCCUGCAGCUCCAGAACUUCCAAACCAUGAUACUACCAGGUGUUAACUGAGGUAUAAACAUGCCAUAUUUUCUUUCUUUCUUUUUUUUUUGAUUUUUUUAUCAGAUAUUUUCUUUAUAUACAUUUUAAAUGCUAUCCCGAAAGUUUCCUAUACCCUCCCUCUGCCCUGCUCCCCUACCCACUGACUCCUGCUUCUUGGCCUUGGCAUUCCUGUCUAGUGGGGCAUAUACAGUUUGCAAUACCAAGGGGCCUCUUCCCAGUGAUGGCCAACUAGGUCAUAUACUUAUACAGCUAGGGAUAUGAGCUCUGGGGAUACUGGUUAUUUCAUAUUGUUGUUCGACCUAUAGGGCUGCAGACCCCUUCAGCUCCUUGGGUGUUUAGCUUCUCCAUUGGGAGCCCUGUGUUCCAUCUUAUAGAUGAUUGUGAUCAUCCACUUCUGUAUUUGCUAGGCACUGGCAUAGCCUCAUAUGAGACAGCUAUAACAGGAUUCCUUCAGCAAAAUCUUUCUAGCAUAUGCAAUAGUGUCCGGGUUUGGUAGCUGAUUAUGGGAUGGAUCCCUGGGUGGGGUAGUCUCUGCAUAGUCCAUCCUUUGGUCUUAGCUCUAAACUUUGUCUCUGUAACUCCUUUCAUAGGUAUUUUGUUCCCUGUUCUAAGGAGGAAUGAAGUAUCCACGCAUUGGUCUUCCCUCUUGAUUUUCUUGUGUUCCACAAAUUGUAUCUUGGGUGUUUUGUGUUUCUGGGCUAAUGUCCACUUACCAGUGAGUGCAUAUCUAAUAAGUUAUUUUGUAAUUGGGUUACCUCACUAAGGAUGAUAUCCUCCAGAUACAUCCAUUUGUCCAAGAAUUUCAUAAAUCCAUUGUUUUUAAUAGCUGAGUACUCCAUUGUGUAAAUGUACCACAUUUUCUGUAUCCAUUCUUCUGUUGAGGGACAUCUCGGUCCUUCCCUGCUUCUCAUGCUUUAUUUUCUAGUCUCCAUGUUUUAGUCCAUGUCAACCUAGGUUGCUUCAUUAUCAGACUCCUCUAUCUCAUUAAAGAGUGUAAUUGUGCAAUUGGAAAAAGUUAGCCUCAGGUGGCAAUGAGAUCCUUAAUUGCAUAACAACAAAAGUUUUCAGCCAUAAAACUAUAUACACACACCCAACAGAAAUGGACUGAUCAGGUUUUAUUUUUAUAGCUGUGCAUCCCUAUCCAUAGAUACUUAACAAGGAAGAAUUUGGAAGAGAUGGAGAAAGGACAAGGAAGGUAGAAAGUGAUGAAACAUUUUUAUUAAAAUGUAAUAAAGUUAAAACAAAGAAAAAAGCUGCCAGGAAAAAUAGGAUAGUAGGUAAGAACCCUGGUUAUUGUUAUAGAAGACACAGUUUCUAUUCACAGAAAUGAGAAAGCUAGAGAAAGUAUCCAAGGAGCUAAAGAGAUCUGCAACCCUAUCGGUGGAACAACAUUAUGAACUAACCUGUACCCCAGAGCUCUUGACUCUAGCUGCAUAUGUAUCAAAAGAUGACCAAGUCGGCCAUCACUGGAAAGAGAGGCCCAUUGGUCAGGCAAACUUUAUAUGCCCCAGUACAGGGGAACGCCAGGGCCAAAAAAUGGGGAUGGGUGGGUAGGGGAGUGGGGGGGGGGACUUUUGGGAUAGCAUUGGAAAUGUAAUUGAAGAAAAUACGUAAUAAAAAAAAAAAGAAAUCCUUGUGGUGGAAAAAAACAAACAAACAAACAAACAAAAAAACAAAAAACAAAAAAAAGAAAAAUGACGUGGUAGCUUAUCAUCUCAUGUAACAGCAUUCCCAAGGCAUCUCAUGGACUUUGUAGAUAUUGUGCUCAGACACAUGCAUGAAAACACCCAUAUACAUAAGAUAAACACUUAAAACAAUACAAUGAUGUCCUAGCCCUAAGUCAUGUCAUACACACAUACACACACACACACACACACACACACACACACACACAGGAUUUGCAUGAGGAAUCUUGCGCGCUCUCGACUGGCCAGGAAGAACGACGCUGCCACAGGAUCCUUCUGCACAAGCUUAUUGGGAGAGCUUGAUUGUAGAGGCAAAAAGACCUCGAGCCCAGAACUGGUGCUGCUUUUAUAGGCCUAGGAGGGGCGUGUCUCACACCCGGAUUGGUUAUGCACUAAGCCUCAUUUGCAUGUUCCUCAUCUGAUUGGCUACUCUCUCUCAGUACCUUACAGAACCUCAUUAUCAUACCUCAUUUGCAUGUCUCACAUCUGAUUGGUUAUACUCAGUACCUUACAGAACCUCAUUAUCAUGCCUGGGCCAGGCAGUGUCUUUGCAAAAAACUUUACUGCAUAUGUACACAUUCGUUGUUUGUCCAAACUUAUGCGUGGUGGCCAGCAGUAGUCAGCGCCACUCUGCAACGGCACAUGUGGCUUCCCACAGAGGAACAUGGGAUUUGCUUCAAACAGAAUAGAAGAACAGUCUGUCGAGUCCAGUGCUCAGAGUCAUCAGAGUAGACAAUCAACUUUGUGAGUCACCAUUAUGAACAAGGGCCUGAAAGAGCCAGGCUUUUUUUUUUUAAUUUACCCAGCCUUUAUUAAUACCAUGCAUGUGAAUGAAGGGUGAUCAGCUUGGUGGGUAUACUACUUGUGGAGGUUUGCUUCAUCCAAUAAAUAUUGAAUUUCCAAGUAGGGGGCAUUCUUUGUAAAUAUGUCUGAUGCAUUUGCCCAGUGAGGUCAACUCAGAAUUGAGAAGAAGGCCAUUGGCUGUGGCUGUGGGGCCAGAGGGAGCAGGGCCAGAGAGAGAAGAAAAAGUGUCUGAAAGCAGCUACAGUGUACUUACAUAUAAUAAAUAAAUUUUAAAAAAGUUUAAAAAAGGAAUUUUCUUUGGAUCAUCUUGAAUCUAUGCUGCAAAUUGAUGAUCUCCAACAUUGCUUUCGUUCUUUUUUUCCUGGAAGUACAUCAUUUUCAUGAUGCUUUUUACUGUAGUAUAAAAUGGUCAAAGAUAUUCUAUAUACUCAUUCAUUUAGUAAACAAUACAAAGUAGGUGAAUCUCACGCUGAUAUACAAUGAACAAUGCCAUAGAAAGAGGGCUUCAACAUAUAGUUAAGAUGUACAGAACAAAUUGUUAUGGUCACUUAAAAGCUAUCCCACUGUGUGCAAUUUUAUUGAGAAAAGAAUAACAACAACAAAAAGACAGGUGAAACCUGCUCCAGAAUUGAACAGUGAAUCUGAAUGUGACAUGGUAGUUGUGUUUGCAUACAAAAUAACCUCUGGUAGCAGUUGGGUGGGAUUUCAGCAGAUAUCAACUAAAACAAGUUAGAGCCAUGUGACAUUGUUAUAGUUUAUGUAAACUUGAACAUAUUUAGUGUAUGUACUCUGAUAUAUUUGGACAUGUUAUGCACACCCAUGUACCCAUAUUACCACAAACAGCACAGUUACCCAUGUUCUCAGUACCGUCUUAUUCUAUCCAUGUUUUUAUGUGUCUACAAUAAUCACAUUUUUCAUAAAAUGACAAAAUUUCUAUGU